UACAGAGGUCCCGAGCGUUGUUCGGAUUCACUGGGCGUAAAGGGUGCGUAGGCGGCUUAGCAAGUCUGAUGUGAAAUCUCCAGGCCCAACCUGGAAAUGGCAUUAGAAACUGCUGGGCUGGAGGCUUGGAGGGGGAACUGGAAUGCUCGGUGUAGCAGUGAAAUGCGUAGAUAUCAAGAGGAACACCAGUGGCGAAGGCGAGUCCCUGGACGAUACCUGACACUGAGGCACGAAAGCCAAGGGAGCAAACAGG
rnacentral:rRNA from 1 species